UACGUAGGGGGCUAGCGUUAUCCGGAAUUACUGGGCGUAAAGGGUGCGUAGGUGGUUUCUUAAGUCAGAGGUGAAAGGCUACGGCUCAACCGUAGUAAGCCUUUGAAACUGGGAAACUUGAGUGCAGGAGAGGAGAGUGGAAUUCCUAGUGUAGCGGUGAAAUGCGUAGAUAUUAGGAGGAACACCAGUUGCGAAGGCGGCUCACUGGCUCGAUACUGACGCUGAGGUGCGAAAGUGUGGGGAGCAAACAGG
rnacentral:rRNA from 1 species